GCAGGGUUGCCGAGCUCUCGCAAUCGCGCUUUACCUGCCCAGGCAAGCCGCGGCAAGAACGCAAGGGGCGCGAAGAUAAACCGACACUUUCCCAACCGCUUCACCACCCCUCAGCGACUUCCGCUUCCGGCGACUCCAUGGGGAAACUGAAGCCCUAGAGGAAAAGAAGACUAAAUGUAUUACCAUCUGACCCACUUCCUGGCCAGCCUGUUCACCUGUCUGCUGUUCUUCAUUGUGGCAGGUGUAUGUGUGAGUUUGCAGCUCAAUCCUGGCCAAGGGGAUCCAAGGACUGCUGAAGAGGCAUGUCUGCACAUGUCACCUAGAACAUCUCCAGCCAUCAUGUGAUCUCUGGGGGAGGCAUUCCCAACUCUCUGAGAGAAGCAGACCAGAAAGAUGGAAAGAAAGCACCUGGCUCCAGGAUGAUGACAUUGAGCCGAUGAAUUAACCACCUUUGUGCUGCUCUAACCUUCAGAGUUCACCUUAACAUGAGAAAAUAAAACCCUUAUUGCUUAGCCA
rnacentral:lncRNA from 1 species